UACGUAGGGGGCAAGCGUUGUCCGGAUUUAUUGGGCGUAAAGAGCUCGUAGGUGGUUCGGUAAGUCGGAUGUGAAAUCUCCAGGCUCAACCUGGAGGGGUCAUUCGAUACGGCCGUGACUAGAGUUCGGUAGGGGAGUGUGGAAUUCCUGGUGGAGCGGUGAAAUGCGCAGAUAUCAGGAGGAACACCCGUAGCGAAGGCGGCACUCUGGGCCGAUACUGACACUGAGGAGCGAAAGCGUGGGGAGCGAACAGG
rnacentral:rRNA from 1 species